GAUGAACGCUAGCGGCAGGCCUAAUACAUGCAAGCUGAACGGUAAAUGUUAUAGCAAUAUGAUAUGAGAGUAGCGUAAGGGUGCGUAACACGUAUGCAAUCUGCCCGCAACAGGAGGAUAGCUCCCCGAAAGGGGAAUUAAUACUCCAUAAUAUCACGAGAGGGCAUCUGAUUGUGAUUAAACUCCAAGGGGUUGCGGAUGAGCAUGCGUCUGAUUAGUUAGUUGGUGAGGUAACGGCUCACCAAGACGAUGAUCAGUAGGGGAACUGAGAGGUUGAUCCCCCACACUGGCACUGAGAUACGGGCCAGACUCCUACGGGAGGCAGCAGUAGGGAAUAUUGGUCAAUGGGUGAGAGCCUGAACCAGCCAUGCCGCGUGCAGGAAGACGGCCUUCUGGGUUGUAAACUGCUUUUGUCAGGGGAUAAAAUACCCGUGCGCGGGGAAUUGAAGGUACCUGAUGAAUAAGCCACGGCUAACUACGUGCCAGCCGCCGCAGUAAUAC
rnacentral:rRNA from 1 species